rnacentral:lncRNA from 1 species
UUUUUUUUUUUUUUUUAAAUUGAAAAAGGGCUCUCGGUGCAAUGUUAUGACCCUAAGCACAAGAAGGAUGUGAUAUGCCUUAUGGAGAAAACAGAUCUUUGGAUUUACUCAGGCAUGAACUAUAGUGCUGUUCACUAUGACUCCAAAGUUAAUGAAGCAACAAUAUAUAUUCAAUAAGAUGUCUUUAAACACAAACACAUAUAAAACAAGAUUAUGUGUUGAUCACUUGACAAAAAUUCUGUGAGCAGAGGCUGGCAGGACCCUAACCCUAUUUCCCCUGAGCGCAAUGUCCAUAUCCACUAAUUUGGUGUUCACAGCAACUUUACAUAAGUACCACGAAUUACAAGAAUCGGCUGUACUUCGUUAAAGAAAAUUCUGUAAGAAAAAAAAUAGAGCAAUGGAACUGAAAAGAGAGUCUGGAAAUAGGCCCAUGUAAACACGGCUAUGACCAGCAUAGAGAUCAGUAGAAAAAAGCUGACCUAUACAAGAACUGUUCUGGGACAAAUGAAUAUAAAUCUGGGUAAAAUGAAAAGGAACCCUCACCUCACAACAUAGAAAAACUUAAUCCAGAUAAAACGUGGACAGCAAAGUUUAUGCCUAUGAAAAGAAAACAGUUAAUUUUUUUAAUUAGAAAAGAGCUCUAACAUUUUGAUUUAGGUAGCUAUUUCAUUAUCAAAACACAAAAAGAUCCACAAAGGAAAAUGAAAAACUUUUGAUCAUCAAAGGACACUGAACAUGUAAAAAGACAAGCCAGAAACCGGAAAAAGAUACUUGCCACAUGUGUAACUAAAAACAGUAAGAAAAAGGCAAACAACCCAACAGAAAAAUAGACAAAGACAUGAACAAGUAUUUAACAGAAGAUAAAAUUCAAAAGACUAAUAAAUGUAAGUAAAAGAUUCAAUAAUAUUCAGAAACAGACAUUAAAAUCUCAAUGAACUACCAUUUUAUACAAAUCAACAAAACUUAAAACCACUUACAAUACCAAGUGUUGGAGAAAAUGUGGAAGAAUAGGAACUCUUCCACUGCUAGUGGGAGUACAAAAACCUUUGAAAACAAUCCAUCCUUGGCUAGUGAAAUUAAAAAUGCACAUUCCCUGUGACAUAGCCUUUCUACUUCUCAGUAUCAAUACUACAGGAACUUGAAAUAUGCCUCAGGAGAAAAGUAUAAGAAUGUCCACAACAAAAGCAUAAAUGGAAAUUACAAAAAUCUUGGUGAAAAAAAAAAUGCCCUUACAUUCAAGAAUAAGCAAUUGGAUAAAGUACACUACAUUCACUAAGUUGAAAUGUUUACACAGCAAUGGAAAUCAAUAACUGAUUGUUUGCUAUGACUACUUCCUUAUCAUAUGAAUGAAUUUAAAAAACACUGCUAAAUGGACAAAACAACUAAUCACAAGAAUAUAUACAGUACAAUCCCACUUAAAAUUUAAAAACACAAAAUUAGGAGUUCCCGUCAUGGCGCAGUGGUUAACGAAUCCGACUGGGAACCAUGAGGUUGCGGGUUCGGUCCCUGCCCUUGCUCAGUGGGUUAACGAUCCGGCGUUGCCGUGAGCUGUGUGGUCAUCUCACGUAGCCACAGUUCUAAGUUUUGGAAGUAUGUCAUCUGUUUAACCCUCCUGUUCGAUCUGAGUUCAAUCAUGAAUAUGCACUGAAAUGUGAGCAAGUUAUUGGUAUCUUUAUGCCUGAUUUCUUCUUUGUAAAACAGAACUAUUAACAGCUAUUUCAGUCAUUGUGAAGUUUAAAUGACAAAAAAAAAAAGUUUUUAAAGUAUCUAGUUGUGCCUGGCUUGUAGUCAGUAGUCAAAAAAUCAUAGUUAUUAUGAUGAAAGCUGAGAGUGGGAAAGUCCCAGACAAAUGGGAGAGCUUAUGAGUCAAAUAACCCCCAAGCAUCUUCUGCCUCUAAACAGAGAGACUAAUUAUAUAUGACGUACUGGGAACAUAUACAGGACUAAAUCCUUUUCCCUCCAAAAUAAGACCAGCGUGGGCAAAGGUAAUACAUAUAUAUAUAUAUGGACAAAGCACUUUGUGAAUACCAAGGAAUUGACUCUCUUCAAGGAGGUCAGUCACAUAUAAACCUGAGUCUUAAAAGAGAGCCCCAGGAAUUCCUAGGUGAAAAAUAAGGAGGAAAAGCAAAGUAAAAGUGAGAGAUGCAGUGUGACUGGUGUGGAGUGAGAGGGAGGACGGCUGGAAGAUGAAGAUGGGCUGGCCAGACCAGAUGGCAAGGGACCAAGGGCCUGUUUAAAAGUCUGUACUUCACCCUUCAGGGAGAUGAAGGACGGUGGGGGGAAUCUAACACGUUAAUUUGAUACCAAUCCUUCUAGAAAAGGCAAAACACCUUUAUGACUUUAAAUCCUAUAAAGAUCCACCAUCUGUUACAUCUAAAAUGAAAAAUAAAUUUUAAGCCCGAAUUCUUAAAAACAUGAGCAAUUUGCCUAUCAACAAUGACUGACAAUGGAACCUAUUCUCAUUUCAUUACUUCAAUGACCCUUGUUAUCAAUCACACUGACCAUUGUGACAAGAGCAGAUAACAUCUACAUUCACUAUGUGCCUUGUACUAUGUUGUUUUAUAUGUGUUAUCGUUCAAUUCUCACAACACCUUUAUAAGAAAUACUACUUAAUUUACUCCCUCUUACAGAUGGAAAAACUAAAGCAAAAAGAACGUUUAGUCAGUGAGUAAAAGAUUCGUAUCGCAGCUGCUUGACUCCAAGGGCCUAAAUUUAAACCAAUCUGCUGAAAUGACACCACUCUGUUCAUUUACAUCAUUUGCUCAAAAACUGUAUGUGUACCUACCGUACUUUAAAGCAUCAUGCUAGGUCAGUGAGUCUCAAAUUUUACUGUGUAUUAGAACUACCUAGGCAGAUUCCUACAUUCUGGUAAGUCUAGGGUGGAAUUUCCAGAGAUCUGCACUAUAAGUCCAAUCAAUUCUGAUUCACUUGGUCCAUGAACUAUAUAUACUCUGGUAAACCCUGAGCUAGGUGUCCUAGAGAUUCAAGUAUAUUUGAGCCUCCUGUCUCCAUGAGUUUACAAUCUAAAAGGGGUAAAAACAAGAUACAUAAACAGCGUAUACAAAGCAAUACAGGAAGACUAUAGUUCACUUGGUCCAUGAACUAUAUAUACUCUGGAAAACCCUGAGCUAGGUGUCCUAGAGAUUCAAGUAUAUUUGAGCCUCCUGUCUCCAUGAGUUUACAAUCUAAAAGGGGUAAAAACAAGAUACACAAACAGCGUAUACAAAGCAAUACAGGAAGACUUCAAGGAAGAAGGGUCAUCUGUAAUGAAAUGAAGAUGACAAGGAUUUCAUGAAGAAAGGGAACACAUUUCCUGCACUUUCAGGAAUAAUGUUCCAUACAAAGGAAGGUAUGGUGAGUAGACAGCGUGGCAGGAACAGGGGAUCUGC